UGGAUAAGGCAUGCAAGUUGAACGGAACUAAUCAGUGGAAGUAUGGAAUGAGUAGCAAUACAAGUGAAGUAUGGAAACUGACAGUUUAGUGGCAAACGAGGUAGUAAUAUUUAGGAACGCACCCCGAAGUCACGAAUAGCCCACCGAAAGGUGGAGUAAUACGUGAUAGUCUCGCAAGAGUAAAGAUUUAUCGCUUCGGGAGCGGCUUAAACAGUAUCAGCUAGUUGGUAAGGUAAUGGCUUACCAAGGCUAUGACGCUUAGGAGAGGUGAGAGCCUGACCUCCACCGAUGGGACUGCGACACGGCCCAUACACCUACGGGUGGCUGCAGUCGAGAAUCUUCCACAAUGGACGAAAGUCUGAUGGAGCGACGCCGCGUGAUCGAUGAAGUGCUUCGGUAUGUAAAGAUC
rnacentral:rRNA from 1 species